rnacentral:tRNA from 1 species
GGAGAGGUGGCCGAGUGGUUGAAGGCGCACGCUUGGAAAGCGUGUGUACUGUAAAAGGUACCGCAGGUUCGAAUCCUGUUCUCUCCGCCA